rnacentral:rRNA from 1 species
AACGAACGCGUGCGGCAUGCAUAACACAUGCAAGUUGAACGCCUGGCGCAAGCCACGAGUGGCGCACGGGUGAGUAAUGCGUGGGAACCUGCCCUGGAGUGGGGGAUAACCCGGUGAUAAGCCGGGCUAAGACUGCAUACGCCCUUGGCGCGAGCCUUGGGGAAAGAUUUAUCGCUUUUGGAGGGGCCCGCGUCGGUAUUAGCUAGUUGUUGGGCUAUCGGCCCACCAAGGCGAUGAUCUGUAGAUGGUGUGAGACGAUGAUCAGCCACACCGGGAGUGAGACACGGCCCAGAAUCCUACGGGACGGCAGCUGUG